rnacentral:rRNA from 1 species
UUAAGCGACUAAGCGUACACGGUGGAUGCCCUGGCAGUCAGAGGCGAUGAAGGACGUGCUAAUCUGCGAAAAGCGUCGGUAAGGUGAUAUGAACCGUUAUAACCGGCGAUGUCCGAAUGGGGAAACCCAGUGUGAUUCGUCACACUAUCGUUAACUGAAUACAUAGGUUAACGAGGCGAACCGGGGGAACUGAAACAUCUAAGUACCCCGAGGAAAAGAAAUCAACCGAGAUUCCCCCAGUAGCGGCGAGCGAACGGGGAGCAGCCCAGAGUCUGAAUCAGCUUGUGUGUUAGUGGAACGGUCUGGAAAGUCCGACGGUACAGGGUGAUAGUCCCGUACACCAAAAUGCACAGGCUGUGAACUCGAAGAGUAGGGCGGGACACGUGGUAUCCUGUCUGAAUAUGGGGGGACCAUCCUCCAAGGCUAAAUACUCCUGACUGACCGAUAGUGAACCAGUACCGUGAGGGAAAGGCGAAAAGAACCCCGGCGAGGGGAGUGAAAAAGAACCUGAAACCGUGUACGUACAAGCAGUGGGAGCACCUUCGGGUGUGACUGCGUACCUUUUGUAUAAUGGGUCAGCGACUUAUAUUCUGUAGCAAGGUUAACCGUAUAGGGGAGCCGCAGGGAAACCGAGUCUUAACUGGGCGUUAAGUUGCAGGGUAUAGACCCGAAACCCGGUGAUCUAGCCAUGGGCAGGUUGAAGGUUGGGUAACACUAACUGGAGGACCGAACCGACUAAUGUUGAAAAAUUAGCGGAUGACUUGUGGCUGGGGGUGAAAGGCCAAUCAAACCGGGAGAUAGCUGGUUCUCCCCGAAAGCUAUUUAGGUAGCGCCUCGUGAAUUCAUCUUCGGGGGUAGAGCACUGUUUCGGCUAGGGGGUCAUCCCGACUUACCAACCCGAUGCAAACUACGAAUACCGAAGAAUGUUAUCACGGGAGACACACGGCGGGUGCUAACGUCCGUCGUGAAGAGGGAAACAACCCAGACCGCCAGCUAAGGUCCCAAAGUCAUGGUUAAGUGGGAAACGAUGUGGGAAGGCACAGACAGCCAGGAUGUUGGCUUAGAAGCAGCCAUCAUUUAAAGAAAGCGUAAUAGCUCACUGGUCGAGUCGGCCUGCGCGGAAGAUGUAACGGGGCUAAACCAUGCACCGAAGCUGCGGCAGCGACACUAUGUGUUGUUGGGUAGGGGAGCGUUCUGUAAGCCUGCGAAGGUGACCUGUGAGGGUUGCUGGAGGUAUCAGAAGUGCGAAUGCUGACAUAAGUAACGAUAAAGCGGGUGAAAAGCCCGCUCGCCGGAAGACCAAGGGUUCCUGUCCAACGUUAAUCGGGGCAGGGUGAGUCGACCCCUAAGGCGAGGCCGAAAGGCGUAGUCGAUGGGAAACAGGUUAAUAUUCCUGUACUUGGUGUUACUGCGAAGGGGGGACGGAGAAGGCUAUGUUAGCCGGGCGACGGUUGUCCCGGUUUAAGCAUGUAGGCUGAUUAUCCAGGCAAAUCCGGAUAAUCAAGGCUGAGGUGUGAUGACGAGGCACUACGGUGCUGAAGUAACAAAUGCCCUGCUUCCAGGAAAAGCCUCUAAGCAUCAGGUAACAUCAAAUCGUACCCCAAACCGACACAGGUGGUCAGGUAGAGAAUACCAAGGCGCUUGAGAGAACUCGGGUGAAGGAACUAGGCAAAAUGGUGCCGUAACUUCGGGAGAAGGCACGCUGGUGUGUAGGUGAAGUCCCUGCGGAUGGAGCUGAGACCAGUCGAAGAUACCAGCUGGCUGCAACUGUUUAUUAAAAACACAGCACUGUGCAAACACGAAAGUGGACGUAUACGGUGUGACGCCUGCCCGGUGCCGGAAGGUUAAUUGAUGGGGUUAUCCGUAAGGAGAAGCUCUUGAUCGAAGCCCCGGUAAACGGCGGCCGUAACUAUAACGGUCCUAAGGUAGCGAAAUUCCUUGUCGGGUAAGUUCCGACCUGCACGAAUGGCGUAAUGAUGGCCAGGCUGUCUCCACCCGAGACUCAGUGAAAUUGAACUCGCUGUGAAGAUGCAGUGUACCCGCGGCAAGACGGAAAGACCCCGUGAACCUUUACUAUAGCUUGACACUGAACAUUGAGCCUUGAUGUGUAGGAUAGGUGGGAGGCUUUGAAGCGUGGACGCCAGUCUGCGUGGAGCCAACCUUGAAAUACCACCCUUUAAUGUUUGAUGUUCUAACGUUGGCCCCUGACCGGGGUUGCGGACAGUGUCUGGUGGGUAGUUUGACUGGGGCGGUCUCCUCCCAAAGCGUAACGGAGGAGCACGAAGGUUAGCUAAUCCUGGUCGGACAUCAGGAGGUUAGUGCAAUGGCAUAAGCUAGCUUGACUGCGAGCGUGACGGCGCGAGCAGGUGCGAAAGCAGGUCAUAGUGAUCCGGUGGUUCUGAAUGGAAGGGCCAUCGCUCAACGGAUAAAAGGUACUCCGGGGAUAACAGGCUGAUACCGCCCAAGAGUUCAUAUCGACGGCGGUGUUUGGCACCUCGAUGUCGGCUCAUCACAUCCUGGGGCUGAAGUAGGUCCCAAGGGUAUGGCUGUUCGCCAUUUAAAGUGGUACGCGAGCUGGGUUUAGAACGUCGUGAGACAGUUCGGUCCCUAUCUGCCGUGGGCGCUGGAGAAUUGAGGGGGGCUGCUCCUAGUACGAGAGGACCGGAGUGGACGCAUCACUGGUGUUCGGGUUGUCAUGCCAAUGGCACUGCCCGGUAGCUAAAUGCGGAAGAGAUAAGUGCUGAAAGCAUCUAAGCACGAAACUUGCCCCGAGAUGAGUUCUCCCUGAGACUAUAAGUCUCCUGAAGGAACGUUAAAGACGAUGACGUUGAUAGGCCGGGUGUGUAAGCGCAGCGAUGCGUUGAGCUAACCGGUACUAAUGAACCGUGAGGCUUAACCUU